ACAGCCAUACCACCCUGAACGCACCAAUCUUGUCUGAUCUCGGAAGCUAAGCAUUGUCAUUCCUGCUUAGUACUUGGUUGGGAGACUGCCUGGGACUACUGGGUGGCUUUU
rnacentral:rRNA from 1 species